rnacentral:rRNA from 1 species
GAUGAACGCUGGCGGCGUGCCUAAUAUAUGCAAGUCGAGCGAACAGACGAGGAGCUUGCUCCUCUGACGUUAGCGGCGGACGGGUGAGUAACACGUGGAUAACCUACCUAUAAGACUGGGAUAACUUCGGGAAACCGGAGCUAAUACCGGAUAAUAUAUUGAACCGCAUGGUUCAAUAGUGAAAGACGGUUUUGCUGUCACUUAUAGAUGGAUCCGCGCCGCAUUAGCUAGUUGGUAAGGUAACGGCUUACCAAGGCAACGAUGCGUAGCCGACCUGAGAGGGUGAUCGGCCACACUGGAACUGAGACACGGUCCAGACUCCUACGGGAGGCAGCAGUAGGGAAUCUUCCGCAAUGGGCGAAAGCCUGACGGAGCAACGCCGCGUGAGUGAUGAAGGUCUUCGGAUCGUAAAACUCUGUUAUUAGGGAAGAACAAAUGUGUAAGUAACUAUGCACGUCUGGACGGUACCUAAUCAGAAAGCCACGGCUAACUACGU